rnacentral:rRNA from 1 species
CCUACGGGAGGCAGCAGUAGGGAAUCUUCCACAAUGGGCGAAAGCCUGAUGGAGCAACGCCGCGUGGGUGAAGAAGGUCUUCGGAUCGUAAAACCCUGUUGUUAGAGAAGAAAGUGCGUGAGAGUAACUGUUCACGUUUCGACGGUAUAUAACCAGAAAGCCACGGCUAACUACGUGCCAGCAGCCGCGGUAAUACGUAGGUGGCAAGCGUUAUCCGGAUUUAUUGGGCGGAAAGGGAGCGCAGGCGGUCUUUUAAGUCUGAUGGGAAAGCCUUCGGCUUAACCGGAGUAGUGCAUUGGAAACUGGGAGACUUGAGUGCAGAAGAGGAGAGUGGAAGUCCAUGUGUAGCGGUGAAAUGCGUAGAUAUAUGGAAGAACACCAGUGGCGAAAGCGGCUCUCUGGUCUGUAACUGACGCUGAGGUUCGAAAGCGUGGGUAGCAAACAGGAUUAGAUACCCCGGUAGUC